UGAGGAAUAUUGGUCAAUGGACGAGAGUCUGAACCAGCCAAGUAGCGUGCAGGAUGACGGCACUAUGGGGUGUAAACUGCUUUUGUAGGGGACUAAUAGACAUUACGGGGAACGUUGUGCAAGGAAAAUUCGAAUAAGGACCGGCGAAUGCCGUGCCAGCAGCCGCGGGAAUACGGAAGGUUCGGGCGUUAUCCGGAUUUAUUGGGUUUAAAGGGAGCGUAGGCCGUUUGGUAAGCGUGUUGUGAAAUGUAGGAGCUCAACUUCUAGAUUGCAGCGCGAACUGUCAGACUUGAGUGCGCACAACGUAGGCGGAAUUCAUGGUGUAGCGGUGAAAUGCUUAGAUAUCAUGAAGAACUCCGAUUGCGAAGGCAGCUUACGGGAGCGCAACUGACGCUGAAGCUCGAAGGUGCGGGUAUCGAACAGG
rnacentral:rRNA from 1 species